AACGCGAAGAACCUUACCAGGUCUUGACAUCCUGUGACCACUCUAGAGAUACAGGUUUCCCUUCGGGGACACAGAGACAGGUGGUGCAUGGUUGUCGUCAGCUCGUGUCGUGAGAUGUUGGGUUAAGUCCCGCAACGAGCGCAACCCCUAUUUUUAGUUCCCAUCAUUAAGUUGGGCACUCUAGUGAGACUGCCGGUGACAAACCGGAGGAAGGUGGGGAUGACGUCAAAUCAUCAUGCCCCUUAUGACCUGGGCUACACACGUGCUACAAUGGAUGGUACAACGAGUAGCAAGGUCGCGAGGCCAAGCUAAUCUCUUAAAGCCAUUCUCAGUUCGGAUUGCAGUCUGCAACUCGCCUGCAUGAA
rnacentral:rRNA from 1 species